UCCCCGGUAGCUCAAUGGUAGAGCACCCGGCUGUUAACCGGGUUGUUGUAGGUUCGAGUCCUACCCGGGGAGCCA
rnacentral:tRNA from 1 species